rnacentral:sRNA from 1 species
GCCAGGUGUGGUGGCACACACCUGUAAUCCCAGCAACUGUGGAGGUUGAGGUAAGAGGAUCACAAGUUUGAGGCCAAUGUCAGCAACUUAGCAAGAUCCUCAGUAACUUAGGUAGAACCUAUCUCAA